rnacentral:rRNA from 1 species
AAUUUUAAAAAUUCUCGUGGUGACAGCGGGAGGAUCAUUAUCGGGUCUUUGUAACAACCCGAAAACCAUAUGUGCACCUAUUAUUUGAAAAAAAUUUCGCUGCGGCGGGUCGCUCGCAUGGGGGAGCCGCCGGGCCCGUUUUUAAGGCUGGCCCGCCAAUGCAGCGAGAGCAUUUUAGCUCUGAUUUGAAGCCGAGGCGCUCUGGAAAUUUCUUCUGAAGCACUACGUCAGCCGCCCCGCGAGGGGUACGGCGAAACGAAACUAGUCACAACCCAUAACGAUGGAUCUCUUGGCUCUGGCCAUCGAUGAAGAACCGCAGCGAAAUGCGAUACGUAAUACGAAUUGCAGAUCCAGUGAAUCAUCGAGUUUUUGAACGCACAUUUGCGCCCCCUGGCAAUUCCGGGGGGCACGUCCGACCGAGCGCCGUUAAAAGACGCUCGGGAGCGCGCUGGGCUUUUUUUAAGGGCUCAGCGCGGCUCCCGGUACUGGGACUUGCGCGCGAAGAAGAGAGGGGCAACUCUCUCUCUCCCCGCAGUCCUCAAAACUCAGUGGCGGCCGUUACCCGCGGUCCCCCAGGUGUAGUAACUUUAUCGUCUCGCCUAGAGGGGUUUUUACCGCAGGGGGCCUUGCCUUUACAACACAGUACCCAGAGAGUCAUGUCUCCGGCAAACGAUUCUUCUGGCCUCGGGUCGGACGAGGCUACCCGCUGAACUUAAGCAUAUCAAUAAGCGGAGGAAAAGAAACCAACAGGGAUUGCCCUAGUAGCGGCGAGCGAAGCGGCAACAGCCCAGAUUUGAAAUCCGGUGCUCUUUGGGCGCCCGAGUUGUAAUCUGCAGAUGGGUUUUUUCCGGUGAGGUGCACGUCCAAGUUUCCCUGGGAAUGGGACGCCGUAGAGGGUGAGAGCCCCGUACUGGCGCUGCACCGAGCCUUUGUGAGGCCCAUUUCGACGAGUCGAGUAGUUUGGGAAUGCUGCUCUAAUUGCGAGGUAAAUCUCUCGUAAGGCUAAAUACCGGCCAGAGACCGAUAGCGCACAAGUAGCGUGAGCGAAAGAUGAAAAGAGCCUUGGAUAAGGGCGUCAAAAAGCAUGUGAAAUCGUUAUGGGGGAAGCGCUCGUCCCCAGACGUGGCGGCGGCCGGUUAGUCGGCGUCCUCGCCGACGCACUCGGAUCGUCGCCAGGCCAGCAACAAGCUCGGGCUGGGGCCUACUGCCGGACGGGAAUCGUAGCUCCUCUCAGGGAGGUGUUAUAGCCCUUUGGUGACGUCCCUGGGCCGGGCUGAAGGAACCGCCCUGUGUCGAUGGGGCGAGGCCUUACCCCCUUUAAAAAAAA